rnacentral:rRNA from 1 species
AGAAUGACUCUCGGCAACGGAUAUCUAGGCUCUUGCAUCGAUGAAGAACGUAGCGAAAUGCGAUACUUGGUGUGAAUUGCAGAAUCCCGUGAACCAUCGAGUCUUUGAACGCAAGUUGCGCCUGAAGCCAUUAGGUUGAGGGCACGUCUGCCUGGGUGUCACA